UCUCCUACCGCACCAAUCACCAUC
rnacentral:siRNA from 1 species